rnacentral:lncRNA from 1 species
CAACUUCUUAGAAGCCACCCCCCUAGCUAUGGAGGGUGGGUGGUUUCCUGGCUUGAACAAUGCGGGCCGGGAUGUCCCUGAGCUUUUGGUGAGCAGGGGGUGUGAGGACAUCUGACAAGGGCGCCAUUGCCAUUCAGUCAGGGAGCAGAGCAAACAUGGCCACGAGGCAGGAGAGUGUCAAGAAUUAAGGAGGUUGCGGUGGGAGCCCCCUGUGGACCACACUGAAUCUGGUUCUCAGUCAUCAUCACUAUGGAGCACCUGCUGUCCUCAUGGCCCUCAGCGAGAGGCUCACCUUGCCUGGGAGUCCUUCCGUCUAUAAAGUAAAAGAAUGAUAAGAGCAUCCACACCACACAGGGGUCGAGAAACUGAACGAUUUUUUUUUCUUUUCUUUUUUGAGACAGGAUUUCUCUGUGUAGCCCUGAAACUUGCUCGGUAGACCAGGCUGACCUCAAACUCACAGAGAUCCACAGGCCUCUGCUGGAAUUGAAGCUCUGGGCCACCGCUGCCACCAAAUCUUUUCCUUAAACGGCCCAGAGCUCAGCCUGUGGCCUCGGUGGGAACAAAGUAAAAUCUUGCAAUGAAGGCAGUCACAAUGCUGAGACUCCUACAUGUCACCAUCUACAUGGAGAGAGGUGUGAGGAAGAGCUGAGUCAGCACAGACAGGAUGCUUCUCUGGAGUGCUGGCAUGCGUGUAGAUCCUACAGCACCUAGCACCCUCAGUCUGGCCUCCUCGACUCUGGACUGCUGUAGACAAUCGCCAUGGGAUUGGUGGUGCGGAUGGAGAAUGGUCAGUGUUUACCAACAGGUGAUCAGGGCGGGAGGAUCGGUUGACACCUCUCUUGCAGAGCUGGGGGAGUCUCUCAGGACGAGUUUGUUCUCGUGAUGCUUAGUUCUGUUCUUGUGGACCUGGAUUCGUUUCCUUAAAAGCAGGUUCUCAUGAGUUGUGCCUGAUCCUUGGGUUUCUCCUCUUCCCCGUGCCUGCCCUUCCAAUUCUCUGUAAGCACAAGGCCAAGGUGGCUUCCUAGAAGCCAAGUGGAUGCCCACACCAGGCACUUGGACUUCAAGCCGCCACUGUUGAAAGCCAAAUGCUCUUCUUUAUAAGUUACCCUACCUCUGCCAUUCUGUCAUAGCAAUGGAAAGUGGACUAAGA